CAUAAGCCCUAACGUUAUUGCGCUCUCCAGCCGCCACACCCUUCCCCAUCUUCUGCACUUACCUCGUCAACACAUUUGAAUGCGAAAGAAGUACAAAGGCUCAAUGCAAAUAUGUGGAAUCAUAGAGUAUCAUUUACAAGCUAUGACUGAUGAUGAUCAAACUAAGGUGCAAUUGAAGAUAAUGGCAAAAGAGGAAGGAGAAGAUUGUAUGGCUUUGGGUCUCAAGCAAGAUUUCUAGUACUAUAAUUAGUGUCAUAUAAGAAUUAUGCAUUGUAAAUUUCUUAAAGUUUAAAUAUAAUUAUCUGUAACUUGAAAACUGUUUUAGAAUCUAAAUUUUUGGAUUCUUUGUUACA